rnacentral:tRNA from 1 species
UAACUUUUAGUGUAAAAGCACAAAAAAUUUUGAUUUUUUUAGUAAUAAUUAAUUUUAUUAAAGUUAG